rnacentral:rRNA from 1 species
GACAUAGGUGGCAAGCGUUAUUCGGAAUUACUAGGCGUAAAGCGAGUGUAGGCGGACGAUUAAGUCCGAUGUUAAAUCUCCAGGCUUAACUUGGAGUCGCAUCGGAUACUGGUCGCCUCGAGUGGGGUAGGGGACAGCGGAAUUCCCGGUGUAGCGGUGAAAUGCGCAGAUAUCAGGAGGAACACCAAUUGCGAAGGCAGCUCGCUGGGACGUGACUGACGCUGAGACGCGAAAGCGUGGGGAGCAAACAGG